rnacentral:misc_RNA from 1 species
GAUGAAGAACGUAGCGAAAUGCGAUAAGUAGUGUGAAUUGCAGAAUUCAGUGAAUCAUCGAAUCUUUGAACGCACAUUGCGCCCCUUGGUAUUCCGAGGGGCAUGCCUGUUCGAGCGUCAUUAUAACCCCUCAAGCUCAGCUUGGUGUUGGGGCCUGCUGCACUGGCAGCCCUUAAAAUCAGUGGCGGCGCCAUCUGGCUCUAAGCGUAGUAAUUCUUCUCGCUAUGGAGUCCUGGUGGAUGCUUGCCAUCAACCCCCAAUUUUUCUAUGGUUGACCUCGGAUCAGGUAGGGAUACCCGCUGAACUUAAGCAUAUCAAUAAGCGGAGA